GACGGGGGGGGCAAGUGUUCUUCGGAAUGACUGGGCGUCAAGGGCACGUAGGCGGUGAAUCGGGUUGAAAGUGAAAGUCGCCAAAAAGUGGCGGAAUGCUCUCGAAACCAAUUCACUUGAGUGGGACAGAGGAGAGUGGAAUUUCGUGUGUAGGGGUGAAAUUCGUAGAUAUCGAGAGGAACACCGGUGGCGAAGGCGGCUUCCUGGACAGUGACUGACGCUGAGACGCGAAAGCGUGGGGAGCAAACAGG
rnacentral:rRNA from 1 species